rnacentral:rRNA from 1 species
CUUGUCUCAAAGAUUAAGCCAUGCAUGUCUAAGUAUAAACAAUUUUGUACUGUGAAACUGCGAAUGGCUCAUUAUAUCAGUUAUAGUCUACUUGAUAGUACCUUACUACUUGGAUAACCGUAGUAAUUCUAGAGCUAAUACAUGCGUCAAAUACCCAACUGCUUGUCGGACGGGUAGCAUUUAUUAGAUUGAAACCAAUGCGCCUUCGGGCGGUAUUGUGUUGAGUCAUAAUAACUGUGCGGAUCGCUUUCGAGCGAUACAUCAAUUGAGUUUCUGCCCUAUCAGCUUUGGAUGGUAGGAUAUGGGCCUACCAUGGCGUUAACGGGUAACGGGGAAUUAGGGUUUGAUUCCGGAGAGGGAGCCUUAGAAACGGCUACCACAUCCAAGGAAGGCAGCAGG